AACUUUCAACAACGGAUCUCUUGGUUCUGGCAUCGAUGAAGAACGCAGCGAAAUGCGAUAAGUAAUGUGAAUUGCAGAAUUCAGUGAAUCAUCGAAUCUUUGAACGCACAUUGCGCCCAGUGGUAUUCCACUGGGCAUGCCUGUUCGAGCGUUAUU
rnacentral:rRNA from 1 species